rnacentral:rRNA from 1 species
AUUGAACGCUGGCGGCAGGCCUAACACAUGCAAGUCGAGCGGUAGAGAGAAGCUUGCUUCUCUUGAGAGCGGCGGACGGGUGAGUAAUGCCUAGGAAUCUGCCUGGUAGUGGGGGAUAACGUUCGGAAACGGACGCUAAUACCGCAUACGUCCUACGGGAGAAAGCAGGGGACCUUCGGGCCUUGCGCUAUCAGAUGAGCCUAGGUCGGAUUAGCUAGUUGGUGAGGUAAUGGUUCACCAAGGCGACGAUCCGUAACUGGUCUGAGAGGAUGAUCAGUCACACUGGAACUGAGACACGGUCCAGACUCCUACGGGAGGCAGCAGUGGGGAAUAUUGGACAAUGGGCGAAAGCCUGAUCCAGCCAUGCCGCGUGUGUGAAGAAGGUCUUCGGAUUGUAAAGCACUUUAAGUUGGGAGGAAGGGCAUUAACCUAAUACGUUAGUGUUUUGACGUUACCGACAGAAUAAGCACCGGCUAACUCUGUGC